rnacentral:rRNA from 1 species
UACACUCCUGCGGGAGGCAGCAGUGGGGAAUUUUGGACAAUGGGCGAAAGCCUGAUCCAGCAAUGCCGCGUGAGUGAAGAAGGCCUUCGGGUUGUAAAGCUCUUUUGUCAGGGAAGAAACGGUGAGAGCUAAUAUCUUUUGCUAAUGACGGUACCUGAAGAAUAAGCACCGGCUAACUACGUGCCAGCAGCCGCGGUAAUACGUAGGGUGCAAGCGUUACUCGGAAUUACUGGGCGUAAAGCGUGCGCAGGCGGUUUUGUAAGUCUGAUGUGAAAUCCCCGGGCUCAACCUGGGAAUUGCAUUGGAGACUGCAAGGCUAGAAUCUGGCAGAGUGGGGUAGAAUUCCACGUGUAGCAGUGAAAUGCGUAGAUAUGUGGAGGAACACCGAUGGCGAAGGCAGCCCCCUGGGUCAAGAUUGACGCUCAUGCACGAAAGCGUGGGGAGCAAACAGGAUUAGAAACCCGAGUAGUCCCAUG